rnacentral:rRNA from 1 species
UACGAAGGGGGCUAGCGUUGCUCGGAAUCACUGGGCGUAAAGGGUGCGUAGGCGGGUCUUUAAGUCAGGGGUGAAAUCCUGGAGCUCAACUCCAGGACUGCCUUUGAUACUGAGGAUCUUGAGUUCGGGAGAGGUGAGUGGAACUGCGAGUGUAGAGGUGAAAUUCGUAGAUAUUCGCAAGAACACCAGUGGCGAAGGCGGCUCACUGGCCCGAUACUGACGCUGAGGCACGAAAGCGUGGGGAGCAAACAGG